GUUUGUCCAGGUGGAUUUUAAAACAUUGCAGAACUUUCAUACAAGCAGAAGCAUGAAUAAGGAAGGAAAAGAAAGGGAUAGCUUGAUUAUCAGUGUCUCUAUCAACAUAAGAAUAAUCAGACAACUACAAAGGAGUUAGCAGGAAGGCAAAUUUCUCCACUCUACCCUGCCCCACUGAGACUCAAACCUGGAGGUACCAUCUCUAGUUGCCGUUCUCAUUAUGAUAGUACCCUGUGCUUGUGUAUACUGUCUGCUGCUGAGAAGCUGAGCAGUUGGGGUGGAGGAGCCUGAGCCUGCUCUUAUCUGUUCAUCUACUCACACCUAGAGCCUGAGUCUGCUGGUAUCUACUUAUCUCCUCACACUUCCUGUAGCACCUGUUAAAGGAUCUCCAGGCACCUAAGGAUACCCUCAUACCCUGGUUGAGAAUUACUGUCCUAGAUCCAUUGCAUAUUAUAGGGGUUUUUUAAUAGGUUUAUUUCAAUCCUGUAUUAUCUUCGGCUUUGAUUAAUAUGUAUAGUAUAGUAUAAUAUAGUAUAAUCAGAUAGCAGACACUAUAUAUAUAAUAAUACUAUAUUAUAGUAUAUAGUAUAAUCAGAUCUUUAUGUACAGAGACAAAAUCUAAAGUUUUAUACAACAAAGUAUAUUGAUUCUGCUUUUCUUCUGUUUUGCACUGAUCUUACAUUUGAAGCAAAGAAAAUCUCAGGUCAAAUAUAUAGGCAAAAGGGAUCAUUCAGAUUUUCAUAUUCAGACUGCAGAUUAACCCCUCUAAACUCGCAAACUAGCUUCUGGAAUGCUACUCUGGCCACUACUGUUAAUUUUUAACAAGUCUUGGGAAAAAAGGAGAAACACCAAACAAUUUGAGGACCAAUAACAUAGUUUCAAUAUUGAAAAAAGUAAAAGGAGUGACCAAGAGAAUUAUAGAUCAUUUUGCUUGAUGCUGAUUCUGGUUAAACUAGUAGUGUGGUUCAUUUGAGACUAUCAGCAAUGAUUUAAAGACUAAAAUAUAGUUAAUAUGCUCAGCAUGCUAAUGUAAAGUCAGUAAAGCUGAGGUGCAGCCUGGCUAGAGUGUUGGUUAUAGCCAUGUUGGUCUAAGGAACUAGGCAGACAAGGUUCUUUGGGAAAAAUGGGAUCUCUUUUAUUGAACCAAAUAAUUUUAAAUAUUAAAUAAAAGAUAUCCCAUUUACCCAAAGAGCCUUGUCUGCCUGACUAGAGUGGGCACUUCUCCCAUCCCUGGGACAGUAGGGAAAACAACAGCGGCAGGUAAGGGAGAAAGAGAAGCAGAGGGGAUGGACAGGGCAUGCUUCUCUCCUUUGGGAAACCUUGAAAAGUCCCCAGAGGAUCCCACAUCUCAGUCUGUCAGUACCAGUGUGUUGAGGAGGAGGCGGCUAGGAGCACAGGUGGCUGCUCCUACCUCCUCCCCCUGUUUGUCAAAUCCUGGAUCCACCCCUGCCUUUUUGUAUCACUCAGUUGUAUGAGAUGGUAAUUUAAUUAUUUCAUAACUUUUCACUGUCUUGUGUGAGAUCAGUUGGUGUCUGAAUUAAAUUGACAAGGCCCCCUUACCAAAGAUGAUCCUCUUAUACAACAAAAGCCGUGUUAUCUGGCACUUUAUCAACUGGAAAGCUCCACUAACAAGCAUCUGAGGGAUACGGCAAAAGUGAAACCCUAAGUCCCACUUCUGGUUUCGCUGCCAUGAGCCGUAUUCUUCUUUUUCUUCACUUCACUUCUUCUUCUUCACUUCUUUGGCCCAUGGCCUGGGGGAAAGCAGCUUGUGUGGGGCCCCAGGGGAUGCCAGAUAACAGAGCUUUUGCUGUAGAUAGUUUCAGUGAAGAGACUUAGCAUAAGCAGUUACGGCUAGGGACAGACAUUACACAUAAAUCAGUUUAAGUGAUCAGAAACUGGUUUAAACCUGUAACAGAACAGAUACUCAGUGCACAUAAACCAGUUUGAAAAUGGCUGAAACCAGUUUUAGAUAAACCUGAUUGAAUAUUGUAUCAGACUUAACUGAUUUGGGUCAAACUGGUUUAUGCAAUGUUUGUCCCAGACCAUUUGCUGGUUUAAGAUAAACCAGACUCCCCCAGCAUGCUCUCUGGGCUGGGCAGGGCUCUCUGCUCCACAGCGGCCUAGUGCCUCCCCUCUGCUUCCUGGCUGAAGCUCCUGCUGAGACUUGCAGGCACAAAGUAUCUGUCUGGCUUCUCCCUGAUAAGAAGGGAUUAUUCCCCCCACCCUUCUGCCUUAUGCAAACACCUCAGCAUUAGCUAGCAUACCACAUGCUUACUAUAGUCCGUGCUGUGGGAGACAACAAAGGCAGACAGGCUUUUUGGAGCUAAUCAACAGGUAGCUUAAUGUUCUUCAGUGGAAAAGCUGUUUAAGAAGAGCUUGAAGAGAGGUUUUGUUUUCUUAAUGGGUUGAUAAACACUGAGUUGGGGUGAUAAACAUUCCAUGGUAGGCAGCUCAGGAGUGGGGGGAAUAAUCAGAGCAUCCUGCUGGGGCCUGGCCAUGGACCCCUUACCUCAGCCCUGUGAAAGGGAAGGGAGGGCUGCUGUAGUGCCCCCUGGCUUCUAGCCUGAGCCACUGCAGACAUGUGCCUGAAUUUCUUGAAUAAAAAGGAAAUGCCUGUCCAUCUUCAAUCGGUUCAAGCUUUGCAGGUUAGACUUUGUGAAUGUCUUUCCCUAGCCUAUGUGUCCAAUCUUAAGCAGGCCCUCAGCUGCUGUGGAAGCAUUUCGAACUUUCUCCAGUACAAACUCAGGAUUUGUGAUAUAUUGUUUCCUAAUUAUAGCCAUGUAAGCUGGAGUGUUGUUAUUUAAAAUAGUACCUCUUGUGAUGAAAAUUUAUAUUUUGCAGUUUUAGCAUUUUCCUUUUAUGUUUUGUCUAUAAUGGGAAAUCAAGACCUUGAGUCACCUUGAAUUUAUGCUUCCUAAUGUUUUUGUAAAACAUGGGAAAAUACUCAUAGGAACACUAACAUCCUAAAUCUUUAUUCCUGCCUAAAGUCAGCUGUGGCCCAGUUCAUUAUAAAAGACCCAUAUCAUGGACUGUAUCCAGACAUGUAGGCAUGUGGAGUUUGUGGCACUGCAAACCUCUUUGUGGCACCACAAACUGCAUGCUUGGAAAAUUAAAAUGUGCCUUGCACUGCAAAUUUUCAGUACAAGGGAAAAAUUUGCUACUGGGAUUUCCUGGUAGCAAAUGCUACAAUAGCAUGCUCCAUAACAAAUGGAGGUGUAGUCCUCCAGGGAGAUGUUCUGGCUGCUAACCAGAACAUCUGUACUAUUUCAUUUAUGCCCCAGCUGCUCUAGUACACUGGAAGCUGGGAGGAGCAGGGAAAUGGCAGUUUGCCUGAAGUGGAGCAAUUUGUCCCUCACUAAAGCGCAUGUGCAGGGACAUGUGCUGUGGCACAAGGUGGCACAAAUUUGUGCAGCUACUAUUACUGCCACUACAAGCAUACACCCCUGUACAUCUGGAUGCAACCAUGGGGUCCAAAGGCAGCAGAAAAGAAAUAGUUGAGGAGUAAAGUAUGAAAUGUCGCUGAGAUGUGGUGUAGACUCUUUGGGCUCUUAUACAAUGAGCUUCAAUGAGCUUUAGUUAAAGUGCCCCCACUGCCAUUUUUCUGUGUGGGGAUGCUGAUACACAUGACACUCUGGACGCUUUAAUUAGAGCGACUCUUGGAGUGUCUCUAAUUAAAGUGCCCCCCCCACUCCCAGAGCACAUCUAUAAAAUGCCUUUUGUAUCCACUGCUAUAUGAUAUCUUAAUUCAAAAGUAGGAGUAAAAAACAGGAUUGGUAUUAAUAAUGGCAACUUCCAGCAGGGGCGUUAGAAACAUGAACUCAUUGACUUCAAUACUUUUUUAAACACUCUGAUGAAGUAGUUAGAGACAGAAAUAAAUGUUUAAAGCACUUUGUCUAGGCCACAGAACAAGCAUAUUUCAGAGCUAGAAUUAGGAAUAAGAAGUUUCUGGCUCUCUGCCCUGUAUUCAGAACAAAUUGUUUUCCCUCGCUCCUAUUCUGGACAUAGUUUGUAAACCUCUCCUAAAGAAAAAUGAUAAUAGUGAGAGUAUAUAAGAUGAUUUAUUCAGACAUACAUUUGUUCAUAAAUAUAUGUAUGUAAAAACUAAGAAAUCAACAUGACCCAAAAUGCUUAAUUUUUCAGAAGAAAUCUUAAACACCUUAUCUAAGCAAUAUAGAUGUACUGCAGGUCAGAAACAAAAUUACAUACAUGGUUUUUUUCCCACUGUGAUCAAUUUUAGUGAGAACAAAUGUCCUUUUUAAUUUGAAUUUGUGUGGCAGGAAAGUGCUAGUCUGACACAGCAUUCUGGAUGUAAUUCUAACUGGAGAGAACAGAAUUAGAUACAGAAUCUUGUUAUGGUAACCUUUAACUUUCAAUGAUAAGAGUAAUUUGCAGGACUAAUUUGUAGCUUAUCUAACUAUUCCGUCUUUGAUGAGCAGUUUUGCGCGUUCAUAGCAGUUUCUUUUUUAACUAAUCUGUGAUGCAGAUCUCCACCUUGUGGUUGAUAGUAAAAGUGUACACUCCUUUGAAUUUUAAGCACCCUUUAAUAACACCUAGACCCCUCUACAUUUUAUAGAUAUUGCCCAAUUAGCUGGUUAAUUGUGCAGUUACCUUAAGAUCAACUACAUGUGCAAAGUACUUAUCAUACAAUAAAAAUUUCCAACCAGCUAUAAAGUGAGACCUGAAAAAUGUGUAUGAACUUAAUAGCUGUUAAACUUUAUAGGUGUUGUAAGGGCUUGGUCUUCAGUACAUUGAUGUCUUCCCCAUAUGUCAGAGGGCAAAGGAGGUAUAAUAAUGACCCCUUUAGCCCCUCCCUGAUGUUGUCUUCUAGCCUGCUAUGACUUUGAUGUUUCUGAUUAUUCAGUGUUGGAAGGUAGUUUCCAAGGGAGAACCACCUUGGACUACCUGGUAGACCUAAUUUAUGGGGCUCCUCCUCCUCUGCACCUCAACCUAAUCACACUUUAGUUGCCAGUUCUGGAAAUAAAUGCCAAUAAAAUAGUUUGUAGUUUACCAUUAUACUCCAUAGAUAUCUCUAUGUAUAAAAAUGAAUCAUUUCUCUUUUGUGCUUCCGUGUUAUUGUUUCAGAAUAUAAUUGCUUAAUCUUCAGAGGAUCUGUCAGGACAAGUCCUUUAGGAGAAUGGGACAAGCUCCUUAUUGUUGAAGUCGGAAUUAAACAUUUAAUGAGCACAGGCUGGGAUUACAAACCACCAACCUGGGAAAGAAGGGGAAAAGAUUAUUUUGUACAAAUAAAGAAUAGAUGAGGAGAAUUCCAGUGAGAAAGACCAAAUGGGGGAAGAGACCAUUUUUGAUAAAAGAUAAAACAUUUUUUUAAAAUGGAGAAAUCCAUAGAGAAUUGGGACAGAAAAUUGAUGUAGAAAUGAAAUAUUUUGCCUAACCUUGGCUGAACUACUGAUUAUGAAUACAGGUUAUAAAGAUAGUAGUACCUUUCUGGUUGGUAGAUAGUGAAUAAUUCAUGAACCGAAUAAUUCUAGAAUGUAUUUGAUACAUUUUAGUAUUUGCUUAAUAUUUUAUCUUUUUAUGUUCGUGAUUUCUCUUGAGCUUAUCUAAGGCUAUAGGCAUCUCCAUAGAUUUAAAACAUAUGCCUCUGGGGUUUGGAGUACUGUAUCAUCCCUGGCAUUUUGCAGCCAAACUGGCUGUCUACUGUGAAGGACUUUUGUGAAAGGGUUAUGAAAGUUAUCUGCUGUCUUUUCUUAUGCACAAUGCUUUUUUCUGCUUCUUCCCUUAACACAGUUUUUUGCUUCCUUGUUAUAGAAAAGAAAUAUGAACUGAUUCUCAGUACUGGAUUUAAUAUAAAAGUAUUCAUGGGAAUAAUGUCUGAUUUUGUUUUUAAUCAUGUUCAUGUUUUACUAAGACUGAUGAUAUUUUUUGUAGAAUUCUAGGUACCCACUAGCUAGGUCUUCACAUAUUCCCUGAAAAGAAAGCUUUCUGUCUUUGUCAGUCUUUGUCUUUGGAAAGUCCCAAGGUCCUUGAGUUACACAUGUGUCCAUUUCUAGCUCUCUCUAAAAAAAAUAAACAUGAGCUGCUCCAGGACUUUAACUUAUUUAAAUUAAAUAUCUUUUUGUUUUCAGGCCUAUAAUUUUCUUUGCCAAAUUGGUUCUUUGGGAAUUUAACUUUACUGUAAUUAUUACUCAUAGUAAUUAAAAGUAAACUUAGUCAUUUCUUAAGUAACUUCUUAGUCCAAAUAUUUCUUAGGGAAAAAAAACAACAACUUUACUUCAGCACUUUCCUUCUAUAGUAUAGUAAUUAUAGUAAGAAUGUUAAUGAUUUCUCCUAAAAUUUCACUUAAAACUUCUUUCCUUUUUUUUCCAAACAUGAAAACAGUUUUUGAGAAAAAAAUUUCUUUCCUGACCUUGUGUUCUGGCAAAACUCUGCCUUAGUAGAAUAAGAAUGUCUUCUCUCCAUGAAUUCACUUUUUCACUUCAGUACACAGAAAUUACAUCCCAGUACCUGAAUUUACUGAAUGUUUUGGCGCCCUUGGGAUUAAACAAACUGAAUCUGCUCUGGAAUAAUGUGCUCUUCAUGGAACUAUUGUAUAUUUAAUAGAGAUUCCUUACACCAUCUUUGAAUAAAAGCUUUACAGUCUAAACUAUCUCUGCUGCAGUAU